rnacentral:rRNA from 1 species
ACGCUGGCGGCACGCCUAACACAUGCAAGUCGAACGAAGUAGCAAUACUUAGUGGCAGACGGGUGAGUAACAUGUAGGUAUCUGCCCUUUGGCCUGGAAUAACACGAAGAAACUUGUGCUAAUACCGGAUAAGUCUUUACGGAGAAAGCUUUAUGCACCAUUGGAUGAGCCUGCACUUGAUUAGUUUGUUGGUGGGGUAAUGGCCUACCAAGACUGUGAUCAAUAGCUGAUUUGAGAGGAUGAUCAGCCACAUUGGGACUGAGACACGGCCCAAACUCCUACGGGAGGCAGCAGUGGGGAAUCUUGCACAAUGGAGGAAACUCUGAUGCAGCGAUGCCGCGUGAGUGAAGAAGGCCUUUGGGUUGUAAAGCUCUUUCGUCGGGGAAGAAAAUGACUGUACCCGAAUAAGAAGGUCCGGCUAACUUCGUGCCAGCAGCCGCGGUAAUACGAAGGGACCUAGCGUAGUUCGGAAUUACUGGGCUUAAAGAGUUCGUAGGUGGUUGAAAAAGUUAGUGGUGAAAUCCCAGAGCUUAACUCUGGAACUGCCAUUAAAACUUUUCAGCUAGAGUAUGAUAGAGGAAAGCAGAAUUUCUAGUGUAGAGGUGAAAUUCGUAGAUAUUAGAAAGAAUACCAAUUGCGAAGGCAGCUUUCUGGAUCAUUACUGACACUGAGGAACGAAAGCAUGGGUAGCGAAGAGGAUUAGAUACCCUCGUAGUCCAUGCCGUAAACGAUGUGUGUUAGACGUUGGAAAUUUAUUUUCAGUGUCGCAGCGAAAGCGAUAAACACACCGCCUGGGGAGUACGACCGCAAGGUUAAAACUCAAAUGAAUUGACGGGGACCCGCACAAGUAGUGGAGCAUGUGGUUUAAUUCGAAGAUACGCGCAGAACCUUACCAACACUUGACAUGUUCGUCGCGACUCUAAGAGAUUAGAGUUUUCGGUUCGGCCGGACGAAACACAGGUGCUGCAUGGCUGUCGUCAGCUCGUGUCGUGAGAUGUUGGGUUAAGUCCCGCAACGAGCGCAACCCUCACUUUUAGUUGCCAUCAUUAAGUUGGGCACUCUGAAAGAACUGCCAGUGAUAAGCUGGAGGAAGGUGGGGAUGACGUCAAGUCCUCAUGGCCCUUACGUGUUGGGCUACACACGUGCUACAAUGGUAUCUACAACAGGAAGCAAGACUGCGAAGUUAAGCAAAUCCCUAAAAGAUACCUCAGUUCGGAUUGCACUCUGCAACUCGAGUGCAUGAAGCUGGAAUUACUAGUAAUCGUGGAUCAGCGUGCCACGGUGAAUGCGUUCCCGGGUCUUGUACACACCGCC